rnacentral:rRNA from 1 species
UACAGAGGGGGCAAGCGCUGUUCGGAAUUACUGGGCGUAAAGGGCGCGUAGGCGGCCUGCUAAGUCGAACGUGAAAUCCCCGAGCUCAACUCGGGAACUGCGUCCGAUACUGGCAGGCUUGAAUCCGGGAGAGGGAUGCGGAAUUCCAGGUGUAGCGGUGAAAUGCGUAGAUAUCUCGAGGAACACCGGUGGCGAAGGCGGCAUCCUGGACCGGCAUUGACGCUGAGGCGCGAAAGCCAGGGGAGCAAACGGG